rnacentral:rRNA from 1 species
AGUUUGACCUCAAAUCAGGUAGGAGUAC